rnacentral:rRNA from 1 species
GUGGGGAAUAUUGCACAAUGGGGGAAACCCUGAUGCAGCAACGCCGCGUGAAGGAAGACGGUUUUCGGAUUGUAAACUUCUUUUCUUAGUGAAGAAGCAAGUGACGGUAGCUAAGGAAUAAGCAUCGGCUAACUACGUGCCAGCAGCCGCGGUAAUACGUAGGAUGCGAGCGUUAUCCGGAAUUACUGGGUGUAAAGGGAGCGCAGGCGGGACUGCAAGUUGGAUGUGAAAUACCGCAGCUUAACUGCGGAGCUGCAUCCAAAACUGUAGUUCUUGAGUGGAGUAGAGGCAAGCGGAAUUCCGAGUGUAGCGGUGAAAUGCGUAGAUAUUCGGAGGAACACCAGUGGCGAAGGCGGCUUGCUGGGCUCUAACUGACGCUGAGGCUCGAAAGUGUGGGGAGCAAACAGGA